UGAUCUUUAUGCAUAUUAGCUAGUCGGCGCAUGCGCAUUCAUUGUCCAUUAUGUAAACAUCCACAAUAUUUUUACUGUCUGUAAAGGAGUGUUUAAUGUGCUUAUGCAAUAUCUAUAACGACUUUCCAUCGACCCCAUAAAGGUUAUAACAACGCCAAGGAUACGUAGUACAUAUUUCCAAAGGUGAAAGAAUUCCGAGCCUGCUUCCUACAUAUGGACAGCAGGCCAACUCCAGUUCCGGCAGCAUUAGUGACAAAUUGACCCAAACAGCUGACAUUUUAGUUUGAAAUUCUUUAUCACCGUCAACUCUAUCUGCUUUUUCAGCCUUUUCAACUUACAAAUGUUUCAUUGAACAGUGGUUUGGGAACCAAGCUUCUCCACUACCACCUUGAUUCCAACACCUAUCAGGGUUUAUUGCACAGUGCUAUCAGAAAGGAUUUGCCGCAUCCACAACUUCCACACUAAUUUCCUCAUUAAGUUUCAUCUUCCAGCUUGGAAACUGCACAGAUAUAACACAGCAUUUCAUCAUUCGUAAAAUGCUCCAAGGAUUCCGUAAAUCUAAACCGACAUCCGACCAUGGCUUCCAAUAACCCCAACAGUUUUGAGAAAACUUAUCCAUGCUUUGAAAUUUACCACUACAUCCGAUUUCACAAAAUCACUCUUACGUGCCAUGUUUACUCUAGCGUUUUGUGCCUUUUUACGAGUCUGAGAAAUAACCAAAACAAACAAUACAACUCAACAUUUCCUUCUUUUUGGAAAUGUGUCUAUAGGAUGCGACAGUCCACUUAACAGGUUCAUAGACAUAAAUAUACCUCACUUCAAACAUUCAAAGGCAAACACAACUACACUACACUUGCAACAAAAUACCGAGGACCCAUUAGUAUGCCCGUACCAAGCUCUACUGCAUUACCUCAAUCUCAAAAAGCAUUCUUCACAGUCAGAGCCUUUGUUCUCAUUUAUGGACGGUUUACCCAUCUCUCGUCACUACUUCACACAGCAGUUGCGUUCGGCCUUAGCUUUUUGUAACCUAGACUUACAAAAUUACAACACGCAUAGCUUUCGAAUUGGUGCUGCCACCACAGCUGCCUCACUUGGGUUCUUCAAAGUAUGGGCAGAUGGAACUCGUGUGCCUAUAAAAAGUACAUCAGAAUCCCAACACUAAAAUUUUAGGUGACUCAAGUGUUUCCAUUUGGAUUGUGAAGACAGGGGCUUCAUAUCCACUACAAUAGCAACCAUGUAGACAGGGGCUACUGCUUGGCUCUAAGUAGUUAAACAUUCUUGUAAGAACAUGUUCUGUAUUUUCUUUUGUUGUAUUGUUUCAUAUCAAUAGUAUUUUUCUGUGUGCUUAGCGAUAAAUAGCAUAUUUUGUACACAACCACUUAUUUUCCCUUUGUACAUAUGCAUUGUAUAUGAUGUUGAAUAUGAUAGCCUAUAGGAUAAAGCAGUUAGAGAACUGAUAGAUAUAGCCUACCUUCUUAAGGUGACAGAUGAACAACCCAUAUCACUGCUUUGUUUAGCACAUACUUUAUAUCUAGUCCUUCCAAUGGCCAAAACUUUUUUGCACAAUAUUUUUUCAUAGUCAGUACAUUUCCCAGGAUACAACUGGCUGAUAGUUUUGUAAUGUUUUUGUAUGUAUAUAUAUAUGUUUUUGAUUUAUUUUCAAUUAUUGGAGGAGUGUUGUAUUUUUUACCUGUCGCAACACAUCACAUGUUCUUGAUUAUGGUAUAAUAUUCUUUUGCAACGUUUUAUAUGGUAUUAUGUUUUCUGCAGCUCUUAUGCUUUGUGCUCCUAAAUAAAUGACCAUUUUCAUUCUUUA